GCUUAACACAUGCAAGUCGAGCGGUAACAGGUCUAGUUUACUAGAUGCUGACGAGCGGCGGACGGCUGAGUAACGCGUGGGAACAUGCCCCAAAGUGAGGAAUAACUGCCCGAAAGGGUGGCUAAUACCGCAUAUGAUCUUCGGAUUAAAGGAUUUAUCCGCUUUGGGAGUGGCCCGCGUACGAUUAGGUAGUUGGUGAGGUAAUGGCUCACCAAGCCCACGAUCGUUAACUGGUCUGAGAGGAUGAUCAGUCAGACUGGAACUGAGACACGGUCCAGACUCCUACGGGAGGCAGCAGUGAGGAAUCUUCCACAAUGGGCGAAAGCCUGAUGGAGCGACGCCGCGUGCAGGAUGAAGGCCCUCGGGUUGUAAACUGCUUUUAUAAGUGAAGAAUAUGACGGUAACUUAUGAAUAAGCACCGGCUAACUACGUGCCAGCAGCCGCGGUAAUAC
rnacentral:rRNA from 1 species